rnacentral:rRNA from 1 species
GACGAACGCUGGCGGCGUGCUUAACACAUGCAAGUCGAACGGAAAGGCCCUGCUUUUGUGGGGUGCUCGAGUGGCGAACGGGUGAGUAACACGUGAGUAACCUGCCCUUGACUUUGGGAUAACUUCAGGAAACUGGGGCUAAUACCGGAUAGGAGCUCCUGCUGCAUGGUGGGGGUUGGAAAGUUUCGGCGGUUGAGGAUGGACUCGCGGCUUAUCAGCUUGUUGGUGGGGUAGUGGCUUACCAAGGCUUUGCCGGGUAGCCGGCCUGAGAGGGUGACCGGCCACAUUGGGACUGAGAUACGGCCCAGACUCCUACGGGAGGCAGCAGUGGGGAAUAUUGCACAAUGGGCGGAAGCCUGAUGCAGCAACGCCGCGUGCGGGAUGACGGCCUUCGGGUUGUAAACUGCUUUCGCCUGUGACGAAGCGUGAGUGACGGUAAUGGGUAAAGAAGCACCGGCUAACUACGUG